rnacentral:rRNA from 1 species
GAUGAACGCUGGCGGCGUGCUUAACACAUGCAAGUCGAACGGAAAGGCUCCUGCUUGCAGGGGUACUCGAGUGGCGAACGGGUGAGUAACACGUGGGUGAUCUGCCCUGCACUUCGGGAUAAGCCUGGGAAACUGGGUCUAAUACCGGAUAGGACGAUGGUUUGGAUGCCAUUGUGGAAAGUUUUUCGGUGUGGGAUGAGCUCGCGGCCUAUCAGCUUGUUGGUGGGGUAAUGGCCUACCAAGGCGUCGACGGGUAGCCGGCCUGAGAGGGUGUACGGCCACAUUGGACUGAGAUACGGCCCAGACUCCUACGGGAGGCAGCAGUGGGGAAUAUUGCACAAUGGGCGCAAGCCUGAUGCAGCGACGCCGCGUGGGGGAUGACGGCCUUCGGGUUGUAAACUCCUUUCGCUAGGGACGAAGCGCAAGUGACGGUACCUGGAGAAGAAGCACCGGCUAACUACGUG